GUUUCUUUUUUUUUUGUUUGUUUUUCCCCAAAGCGCUCCUUCCACGAAGCGAAAAGAGAGAAUACAAGAAAAGCGUCUCGCGCGAACGCACAUACUCACAAACGCGGUGGUGCAUCAUCCUCUGCUCUUCUCUCACACACCCACCCCUCCCCCCUACUUCCUCUCGCCGAGGAAAAAAAGAAGGACUGCAAACAGAUCCUUUGAAGGAGUUGCUGUUGACAUCACAAGAGAAGAAGUGGGUACGUGUCAAGAGUGAGGGCGUUCGUUGACUCACCUUGCUAGUCUUCUGUUCUCUCUUUCCGGCCUCCGCGUCUUCUGUUAGGUGUUUCUCGGCGAACUGCCGUUGUCGAUCGCGCAGACGCACGGAAGUGACACACACGCAUACACGUUCACAAGACCAAAAAAAAAGAAACAAAUAGAAAAAGGAACGAUUGCCGUGCACUGCGGGUAGUUGGUCUUAUCUGUUUGAUUUUUCUUUUGUUUCUGAUCUUGGUUCUCCAUCGGAGUCCUUUCGGGGUGUCCUCAUUGUCAUCAUCGUGGUGAAUCCCGCGGGCUCUGUGAUAGGGAUUGUGUACCACAUCGUGUGGGAGUUUUUUUUUUGUUCGUUUACGCUCUGCUUGUGUGUGUGUGUGUGUGCAAAGCCGAAGUGCUCGCUCUUUUUCUUUCUUCGGUUGUACUUUUUUUUUGCGCUGGGUUGUCCAAAUUUCCAUUUCGGUGAUUGCUGCUGUUGUUGUCCCUUCCUCUUUUUUUUCUUUCAGACCGGUUCACGGUUCCAGCAGAAAGAGCAGACGUCCGCCGCCUUGACGGCAUCUUCACACGGCGCUGGGCUUCGCUGGAGAUUCUAGUUCUCUCUCUCUGUCACCCUGAACCUUUCCCUCCCCCGCUGGGCGAUUGCGCCGUCAUUUCAACAUAGAUCAUAGCCUGUAACAGUUGUGCGAGCCGGGGCUUGUGUUUGUGUAUGUGCGUGGGAGUCUGUGCCUGUCUGUCUAUCGGUGUGUAUGUGUGUAAGUGACCGCCUGCGAGCAAGGGCCCUUUUUUCUUCUUCCGGCGCUGUAACGCACACGCAUUACUUACACGAGGAUAGAGAACCACAAAAGACAAACUUGUGUUUCUUGGCUUUCUUUUCCUUUCGCUUCUUCUCUGCACUCUCCUUAUCCCCUUCCACUUCCAUACGCUUCCCUUUUGUACUACACCGUAUCAGGUCUGUCUCUCCUUCUCUCUCUCUGGCCACAGUAUCCUUGGGGCUGUUUGUUGCUCUUCCUUGUGUGGGUGUGUGCGGCCGCCGUCGUGCUUGGUGAUCUGUCCUCCCGUCUUCUCUCCUUUUCGUUCCUUUUCCGUUGUUUUUGGUCGCCCUUUGUUUUUUGUUGUUGUGCCGCGAACGCGUCGGCACUGGGGCCUGUGUGCGCCUUGUGGACGCUCUCGGCUGUCUCAUUUCUUCCCCCUUUUUUCCCCAAGUGCGAGCGGCACUCUCCCCCUUCUGCACUGCGCCGCACGUUCAGUCCACGAUCCCUCGCACCGUGUCAUCCCCACCGUCUCUCUGUAGCGCCGUCUUCUUCUGACCCUGCCCUUCUCCUGCCUGCCCAUAGGCUAUCACAGGGGAGUAUUCAGCGACGCCGGUGUCUUUCACACGCACCGACGAGCAGUCCAACAACUGAUAUACAUCCAAGCGCGAACACCGCGCACCUUUUAUAAGCGCACAUCUGUUUCUUCCCUUCAGCGACCAUGUCGAAUCUGAACCCCAACGCGCCAUCGUUCCCGGUAUCCAACUACCAGCCGAACACGACGCACAACAAGCAAGGCUACAACAACGGCGGUGGCCCAAGCGGCGGCGGCGGCGGCACGAUGCAGAACGAGCGUUAUGGCGGAGGGAUGAUGUACGACAACAGCAACUACCACCAGGGCGGCGGUGGUGGCUACGGUCCUGGCGGUGGCAAUCCUGGCGGCGGCUACGGGCAAGGCGGCGGCUACAUGGGCAAUGGUCCACAGCAAGGGUACCCGUCGGGUCCUCGCAUGGGUCGCAACCAUCGCCAACCGAAUAUGCCACAUAGCCAGUACCAAAACCUAAACGGCAUGGUAGGCGGCAGCGGCGGCGGUGGUGGCGGUGGCGGCAUGCUCGGCAACUACUGCGGAAUGCCUGCCCCGUAUCAGCAAGUAGGCGGGAUGGACUUGAACGGCGGCUAUGACCAGCAGCCACCACAGCAGCAGAUGCCGAUGCAACCUCGGAUGCACAACAUGCCGCCGAACGCGAUGGGCAUGAACAAUAACAUGAUGGGUGGUGGCGGUCGCAUGCCGUACAACAGUAACCAACGUAACCCAAUGCCGAACAUGCAUCCGAACAUGAAUCCGCAGGCCAGCAUGGGACUUGGCAGCGUCAGCGCUCAGCCGCCGCCAACCAUGGCACCACCAGCUCCAGUGUCGCGGCCCCUUUCCGUGCCUCCGGCAGCUGUAGCCCCGUCUUACAUCACGAAGAACACGCCACGCGCCGUGAUGGUGGUCGGCUACAAGAAGACCGGCAAGACAAGCGUGGCUCAGGCGAUUGCGAAAAGGGAGGGAUUUCAGUACGUGUGUCUUAAGUCGCCACUGCAGCAAUCUGCCGCCCAAGCAGCAGGCGGUGAGAAAGCCGAGGAGGCCGAGGAAGCCGAAGAAGAGGAUAUAAGCCCGCUGGAACGACUGGCGCCACUGCGUGCGGCGCUGGAGAAGAAAUCGGCAAUGAAGGGGUUGGUCAUCGAUGAUGCCUUCUCGACCAACAAGUUCCAAGCUCACUACGUGGUGCACUACCUCGUCAAGGCGGGUCUGCAGCUGGACGCGGUUGUGGCCCUCGUGCCAGAGCUGGCGUCGCUGGUCGAGCGUGGGGUAAGCUUCGCGAAGUCGCACGCCAAGACGAUGCACCCGGAAGCGUUCGAGUUUGCCUCGAGCCUCGACCCCGAUAGGGUCAUUGUUAUGGAUGAGGACUUGAAGUUGGAAGAACUCGCGGAGAAGGCAGCAGCUGAGGUGUCGGUGCUGCUGAAAAAGAACGACGCAGCGAUCAAGCUGGAGCAGGAGUACUUCAUUCCCAGCUGCCCCAUGGUGACCGACGCGGAGCUGGUGGAGCAGAUUUUAGAGGCGGAGCGUAGCGCGGUGAAGCGCCCGCUGCCGUACACAUUCACGUACUCGGAGCCGAACUACGUGCUUGACUACGUGCAGUUUGUGCAGUCGGCUGCAAAACUGCAGCACUACCUCGUCACACCGUGGAUCUGGGGAGAUAAGCUUUCGCUGAUUGGUUACGACACGAGCGUCUACGUCCACCUAACAUCCUACAACCUUUUGUUCAAGUUGAACGACGUGCCAGCGGCGAUGCAGGAGCUCCUCAAGAAGCUCAAGAGCGAGGCGGAGGCAUCAGGGGCGGAGGAUCCGGCGUCGCAGGUGCUGUUCUGUGUCGAGGCGUCCAUGCUGGACGAUGUCAUCUACAUCUCUGACAUGAUGAUCAUCGGCAAGCAGCAUGGUUCGGAGAUGCUGCUGCACGAUCGUGUGAAGCUGUUGUCCGAUUCAUUCGGCAAGCUGCCAAGCAACAGCUCGGUGCGGUUGCUGGAGCACUACCCCGUCUGCGACAUCAAGGCAUGCCUAGAAGCUUACAAGGGCGUCAGCCGCGGUGCGAUUUUUGUCAACCCUGACGGGAUCGAGUACGGCCGCUACGACGUGCGCAACUUUGUGUACCCGUCGGAAACCAAGAGGACGGUGCGGCUGCGCAUUUGGGCCGGUAGCAUGACCGACGGCAUGUGGAGCUUCGACGGCUACGUGCGCGAGUACGAGGACGAGGUGUUAGCGACAAGCCGCACCACCGGCGCGAACAACCUCCCGGUCAUGAUUAGUGACGCAAACGUUGACACGCACAUGAUCAACGACGGCAACAUCGUCGAGUGUGUGAUGGAGAAGACGGCCACCAAAGGCAAGUCGCGCGAUAAGAAUGCGGUGCUGACAUUUUGCCGCCGCUGUAAGUGGGAAGUGACACCCAUCACUCAAUUUUACAUGUGGGCGUUCGCGGAUCCGCCGCAGUGGUCCACGGAGUCCUUCCUGGACGCCUGCUCCACCAUCGCCUCAGUGCGGCCGACCGUGUAGAGAGAGUGAGACACAGCUUCCAUCCCUUCCGCCACAAACCCGACGUGUCUCUCGCCGCCACCCUCGCCUCCUCCGCCAACUCCCACCACACACACACACACGCACACGUGAACUGCUGUGUUCGCCUCCGCGUAAGGAAAGUUCGUGUGCGAGAGGGGUGCAACGUCCUUACUUUCCUCUCGCACCCAACGUGAAAACGGGACAUGCUCAACUGAAUGAGGGAAAAGGGAUAGCGACGCCUCUCUCCUAGCCGGCCCACUCAGGUGUUGCGGGUGAAGUGCGUGUAGUCGCACUUCUUUUUUUUUUUGGGAGUUGACGGAUUAAAAUGCGGUGAGAGAGAGAUGCGCAUACAGCACAUGCAAGCGAUUCGGCAGUAGUGGGGGGGGUGCAUCGGCGGGUGGGGUCGGGAAGAGGGGGGCUCGUGCCCAAAUACCCCGCAUACAUGUAGGGGGGCACAAGUAGAAAAAAAAUUGUGUGGGGUGGGGUGUUGUGUAGAUAGUCGGAAAGACAGAGUGGCAGAGAGACGCGCACACCGGCGGGACGUUUUUAUUGUUGUGAAUGACUAGCGAACUCCCUGAGCGGCGUUGACACGAAGGGCAACAAAGGGAAGGAGAGGAAGCGGUGUGGCUAGCAUCCCUUCAACUUUACGAGUGGCCUCUUAGCUAGCCUUCGCUUGUGAGCGAUGAAGUACAACAGGGCUUUUGCUUGUGCAGCGGUCUCUCGGCUGCUGGCUGCCAGUACUCGGCGGAAACGGCGUAAACAAGGGCGGAUCUGGCGCAUCUCUCACCCCUCCCCCAUCCCGUUUUGUGGGCACUCGUGGACGUGUUGGUGCAUGUGAAGUGAUGUCAGACUUCGUUCUUGUUGCUGCAAAUAAAAAGCACACAUAUUUUUUUUUAAAAGGCAGUCAGCGUGAAGGCGCGAGGCAACGGUGGCGGUAUGUCUGUGUGUGUGUGUGUCUGUAUGUGCCGCGUAUUGCGCACAUCUUCGUGUGUCACUAUAGUCCAUCUUGUGUUUCUCUUUUCCUGUUCUCUCGUCCGCCCUCUCUCACUCUCUUCUUACGCCCGUUGUCGUGGUCGUCUUGUCGGUGAUGCUGCCGUGUGCGCCUGUGUCUGUGGGUAUUUGAGCAGGAAAGGUGAAUAGAGGGAGUACGUAUGACUGCCUCAUUCUUUGUGGGCGCUGUGCAAGCUUCCCGAGCAGCUGUGUGUGUGUGUGGGUGAGUGGGUGUGGGUGUGGGUGUGGGUGUGCUUUCAUUUUUCUGUGUUGGUGGUGAGCGGGAAGGAGGGUUGUUGUUUCGUCAAGGAAGAGGAUAGCAUACGUAGCGACGACGGCGAUGAAGAUGAUGAUGCGGCGGACAAAACGCCCACAUGUGUCUGUGUGUGUGUGUGUUUCUGUGAGACGACGUGUUGAUGUGGUACCGUGUGCCUGCGUCUCUCCUCUUUUCAUUGCUUCAUCUUCCUUCCGGUGCUUUUUUCCUUCCAAGUAAGAACUCCAACACACACACACACAGAAAAAAG
rnacentral:misc_RNA from 1 species